rnacentral:rRNA from 1 species
UACGUAGGGGGCAAGCGUUAUCCGGAUUUACUGGGUGUAAAGGGAGCGUAGGCGGCUUAGUAAGUCAGAAGUGAAAGCCCGCAGCUCAACUGCGGGACUGCUUUUGAAACUGCCAGGCUAGAGUGUCGGAGAGGUAAGUGGAAUUCCUAGUGUAGCGGUGAAAUGCGUAGAUAUUAGGAGGAACACCAGUGGCGAAGGCGGCUUACUGGACGAUGACUGACGCUGAGGCUCGAAGGCCAGGGGAGCGAAAGGG